rnacentral:rRNA from 1 species
UACGUAGGGGGCAAGCGUUGUCCGGAUUUAUUGGGCGUAAAGAGCGUGUAGGCGGCCAUACAGGUCAGCUGUGAAAACUCGAGGCUCAACCUCGAGACGUCGGUUGAAACCGUUUGGCUAGAGUCCGGAAGAGGAGAGUGGAAUUCCCGGUGUAGUGGUGAAAUGCGUAGAGAUCGGGAGGAACACCAGUGGCGAAGGCGGCCCUCUGGGCCGGGCCUGACGCUGAGACGCGAGGGCGUGGGGAGCGAACGGGG